rnacentral:rRNA from 1 species
GAUGAACGCUGGCGGCGUGCUUAACACAUGCAAGUCGAACGAUGAAGCCCAGCUUGCUGGGUGGAUUAGUGGCGAACGGGUGAGUAACACGUGAGUAACCUGCCCUUGACUCUGGGAUAAGCCUGGGAAACUGGGUCUAAUACUGGAUAUGACUUCUCAUCGCAUGGUGGGGGGUGGAAAGAUUUAUUGGUCUUGGAUGGACUCGCGGCCUAUCAGCUUGUUGGUGAGGUAAUGGCUCACCAAGGCGACGACGGGUAGCCGGCCUGAGAGGGUGACCGGCCACACUGGGACUGAGACACGGCCCAGACUCCUACGGGAGGAAGCAGUGGGGAAUAUUGCACAAUGGGCGAAAGCCUGAUGCAGCGACGCGGCGUGAGGGAUGACGGCCUUCGGGUUGUAAACCUCUUUCAGUAGGGAAGAAGCGAGAGUGACGGUACCUGCAGAAGAAGCGCCGGCUAACUACGU